CAGAGCCACCUCUGGGUGAAGCUGUACUGAAGCUGUCUUCUUCAGCUCACACUCACAUACCAAACCAGCCCAUGCAGAAGCCCAGCUCCAGUCUUCUUCCCAUAGUUAACUUUCAGAAUCUUUUUGUAGAGCUGUAGAUCUGAGAUGAGAAGAGUGCUGGUGUAAUGGGGAUGCCAUGUGCUUGCAUCUUUUGUUCACCUCUUAGAAUUCCCACCUCACCACACUUACAAUGGCAGUUAAAUUUCAAUAUGAAUUUGGGAAUGGAUAAACCAUAGCACAUAUAAUUUUCUGCUGCAUAUGGCCACACUUUGCUCCAGAAUCUCAGGAGCUUAUAUUGUGAUUCUUUAACUGGGCUUAUCACAAACUCCACGUGGCUUCUCUUCCCAAUACUGAUACCUACAAAACUAAGCAUUGAACAUCAGUGUAAGAGGGUCUAUUUAUGCACUUUAUAUUCUGUUCCAUUGUUCUAUUUAUCUAUUUUGACACUAGAUUACUAAAGCUUUGUAAAUCUUGAAGUCAGAGUACGUUGAGUAAGAUUUCUAAUUUUGUUUUUUCAUUUUCAAAUUUGUUUUGGCAUAUGCUAAUUUUUCAGAGUAUUGCCAGUUGACAACUAUCUCC
rnacentral:lncRNA from 1 species